rnacentral:rRNA from 1 species
AACCAUUGUGAACCUACCACUGUUGCUUCGGCGGCCUCGCCCCGGGCGCGUUCGCGCGGCCCGGACCCAGGCGUCCGCCGGAGGCUCCAAACUCUUGUCUUUUAGUGUAUUUCUGAGUGGCAUAAGCAAAUAAAUCAAAACUUUCAGCAACGGAUCUCUUGGUUCUGGCAUCGAUGAAGAACGCAGCAAAAUGCGAUAAGUAAUGUGAAUUGCAGAAUUCAGUGAAUCAUCGAAUCUUUGAACGCACAUUGCGCCCGCCAGUAUUCUGGCGGGCAUGCCUGUCUGAGCGUCAUUUCAACCCUCAGGACCCGUUCGCGGGACCUGGCGUUGGGGAUCAGCCUGCCCCUGGCGGCGGCUGGCCCUGAAAUCCAGUGGCGGUUCCCUCGCGAACUCCUCCGUGCAGUAAUUAAACCUCUCGCGGCAGGAUAGCGGUUGAACCACGCCGUUAAACCCCCCACUUCUCAAGGUUGACCUCAGAUCAGGUAGGAAUACCCGCUGAACUUAAGCAUAUCAAUAAGCGAGGG